rnacentral:rRNA from 1 species
UAAACAACCUGCCUUCAGGAUGGGGACAACAGACGGAAACGACUGCUAAUACCGAAUACGUUCCACGGGCCGCAUGACCUGUGGAAGAAAGGGUAGCCUCUACCUGUAAGCUAUCGCCUGAAGAGGGGUUUGCGUCUGAUUAGGCAGUUGGUGGGGUAACGGCUCACCAAACCAACGAUCAGUAGCCGGUCUGAGAGGAUGAACGGCCACACUGGAACUGAGACACGGUCCAG